rnacentral:lncRNA from 1 species
GCUAAGUUGCCCAGACUAGGCUGAAACUUGAGAUCCUUCUGCCUCAGCCUCCUAAGCAACUGGGAUUACAGGCACGCACCAUCGUGACCAGUGUUUUGAAUAUGAUUCUUGACUAUAAGGUUAUGCAUUUUGUCUUAAAUUCCAGCCCUGUGCCAUCCAACCUCAAAGCUCCCCCCGAGGGCCCUCUACCACUGAAAUCCUGUACUCAGCCAGCGUAAACUCAAUAAUGGCUCAGGUGGAGAAAGAGACAUGUAGGGACAACUCUGCUCAUCGGCACUGCUGCUGGCUUCUACAACAAACCUCCACCCUCUUCUUUGCACAAACAACCAGUCCUCCCC